rnacentral:rRNA from 1 species
UACGGGGGGAGCAAGCGUUGUUCGGAUUUACUGGGCGUAAAGGGCGCGUAGGCGGUCAGCACAAGUCAGUUGUGAAAUCUCCGGGCUUAACUCGGAAAGGUCAACUGAUACUGUGCGACUAGAGUGCAGAAGGGGCAACUGGAAUUCUCGGUGUAGCGGUGAAAUGCGUAGAUAUCGAGAGGAACACCUGAGGUGAAGACGGGUUGCUGGGCUGACACUGACGCUGAGGCGCGAAAGCCAGGGGAGCAAACGGG